rnacentral:rRNA from 1 species
GCAGCCGCCGCGGUAAUACGUAGGUGGCGAGCGUUGUCCGGGAUUAUUGGGCGUAAAGGGAGCGCAGGCGGACAUAUAAGUCCAUCUUAAAAGUGCGGGGCUCAACCCCGUGAGGGGAUGGAAACUGUAUGCCUUGAGUGCAGGAGAGGAAAGCGGAAUUCCCAGUGUAGCGGUGAAAUGCGUAGAUAUUGGGAGGAACACCAGUGGCGAAGGCGGCUUUCUGGACUGCAACUGACGCUGAGGCUCGAAAGCCAGGGGAGCGAACAGGAUUAGAGACCCCAGUAGUCCCUGUCUCUUAUACA